AGAGUUUGAUCCUGGCUCAGGAUGAACGCUGGCGGCGUGCUUAACACAUGCAAGUCGAACGGGGCGGCUGGGAGGAAUCCCUUCGGGGAGGAGACCCCGGGGACUGAUGGGGGAACGGUGAAUCACCCGUGGGCCACCUGGCCCCUACCGGGGGAACACCGCCCGAAACCGGUUGUAACUCCCCAUAAUUCCUGGGGGCCCCCUGGGUCCUGCCGGAAAACUUCCGGGGUAUGGGAUGGGCCCCCCUUUGAAUAAGCUUGUGGGGGGGCAGACGCCCCCCCAACGGAGCAAUAAUAGCCGGGCUGAAAAGGGGGGCCGGCCCCUUGGGAGUGAGACACGCCCCAAAUUCUUCCGGAAGGAACAAUGGGGAAUAUUGCACACUGGGGGGAAACCUUGAGCCACCACCCCCCCUGGGAGAGGAAAUAUUUUGGUAUAUAAAACCUUAUCUCCACAGAAGAAGAAAUGACGGUACCUGAAUAAGAAGCCCCGGCUAAAUACGUGCCAGCAGCCGCGGUAAUACGUAGGGGGCAAGCGUUAUCCGGAUUCACUGGGCGUAAAGGGAGCGCAGGCGGCGCGCCAAGUCUGAUGUGAAACCCCGGGGCUCAACCCCGGGCAUGCAUUGGAAACUGCCGGGCUGGAGUGUCGGAGAGGCAAGCGGAAUUCCUAGUGUAGCGGUGAAAUGCGUAGAUAUUAGGAGGAACACCAGUGGCGAAGGCGGCUUACUGGACGGCAACUGACGCUGAGGCUCGAAAGCGUGGGGAGCAAACAGGAUUAGAUACCCUGGUAGUCCACGCCGUAAACGAU
rnacentral:rRNA from 1 species